rnacentral:rRNA from 1 species
GGGUCCGGACACACUGAGGAUUGACAGGCGCUUGUAGUUAUAAGAUUAUUAAUUUAUUAAUAAUUAAAUUUCUGCUAUAAAUAUGCUAGUCCUUUCAUGAUUGUGUGAUAGGUGGUGCAUGGCCGUUCUUAGUUCGUGGAGUGAUCUGUCUGCUUAAUUGCGUUUCACUGUGGACAUUGUUAAAAUAGCGUGUGCGCCAUAAUUUCGGUUAUGUGCUGCCUGCUGUUCCAAAUGUCCUGAAGGCAACGAACGUGACCGCAACCUCUUGUUGCCUCUUCCAAAUACUUAUUUUAUAAUUUUAUUAUUAAAUUAUUAAGAUCGGUUUAUAGAGGCUAACUAGAGGGACCGCUGACAACUUUUAAAACAGAGGAAGGUUGCGGCAAUAACAGGUCUGUGAUGCCCUUAGAUGUUCCGGGCUGCACACGUGCUACAAUGAUUAUUGCACUGAGCAUCUAAUUUUAUUAAAAGUUCGUUUGGUUUAAUUUAAUAUUUAUAUUAAAUAAAACUAACGACAUUUCCUACUUCGAAAGUAAGUAGGU